rnacentral:rRNA from 1 species
GACGAACGCUGGCGGCGUGCUUAACACAUGCAAGUCGAACGGAAAGGCCCUGCUUUUGUGGGGUGCUCGAGUGGCGAACGGGUGAGUAACACGUGAGUAACCUGCCCUUGACUUUGGGAUAACUUCAGGAAACUGGGGCUAAUACCGGAUAGGAGCUCCUGCUGCAUGGUGGGGGUUGGAAAGUUUCGGCGGUUGGGGAUGGACUCGCGGCUUAUCAGCUUGUUGGUGGGGUAGUGGCUUACCAAGGCUUUGACGGGUAGCCGGCCUGAGAGGGUGACCGGCCACAUUGGGACUGAGAUACGGCCCAGACUCCUACGGGAGGCAGCAGUGGGGAAUAUUGCACAAUGGGCGGAAGCCUGAUGCAGCAACGCCGCGUGCGGGAUGACGGCCUUCGGGUUGUAAACCGCUUUCGCCUGUGACGAAGCGUGAGUGCCGGUAAUGGGUAAAGAAGCACCGGCUAACUACGUGCCAGCAGCCGCGGUGAUACGUAGGGUGCGAGCGUUGUCCGGAUUUAUUGGGCGUAAAGGGCUCGUAGGUGGUCGAUCGCGUCGGAAGUGUAAUCUUGGGGCUUAACCCUGAGCGUGCUUUCGAUACGGGUUGACUUGAGGAAGGUAGGGGAGAAUGGAAUUCCUGGUGGAGCGGUGGAAUGCGCAGAUAUCAGGAGGAACACCAGUGGCGAAGGCGGUUCUCUGGGCCUUUCCUGACGCUGAGGAGCGAAAGCGUGGGGAGCGAACAGGCUUAGAUACCCUGGUAGUCCACGCUGUAAACGGUGGGUACUAGGUGUGGGGUCCAUUCCACGGGUUCCGUGCCGUAGCUAACGCUUUAAGUACCCCGUCUGGGGAGUACGGCCGCAAGGCUAAAACUCAAAGGAAUUGACGGGGCCCCGCACAAGCGGCGGAGCAUGCGGAUUAAUUCGAUGCAACGCGUAGAACCUUACCUGGGUUUGACAUGGAUCGGGAGCGCUCAGAGAUGGGUGUGCCUCUUUUGGGGUCGGUUCACAGGUGGUGCAUGGCUGUCGUCAGCUCGUGUCGUGAGAUGUUGGGUUAAGUCCCGCAACGAGCGCAACCCUUGUUCACUGUUGCCAGCACGUUAUGGUGGGGACUCAGUGGAGACCGCCGGGGUCAACUCGGAGGAAGGUGGGGAUGACGUCAAGUCAUCAUGCCCCUUAUGUCCAGGGCUUCACGCAUGCUACAAUGGCUGGUACAGAGAGUGGCGAGCCUGUGAGGGUGAGCGAAUCUCGGAAAGCCGGUCUCAGUUCGGAUUGGGGUCUGCAACUCGACCUCAUGAAGUCGGAGUCGCUAGUAAUCGCAGAUCAGCAACGCUGCGGUGAAUACGUUCCCGGG